rnacentral:rRNA from 1 species
GACAGAGGUGGCGAGCGUUGUUCGGAGUUACUGGGCGUAAAGAGCACGUAGGCGGCCGGGUAAGUCCCAUGUAAAAUCCCCCUGCUUAACAGGGGAACGUCGUGGGGGACUGCCCGGCUAGAGGACGGGAGAGGAGAGCGGAAUUCCCGGUGGAGCGGUGAAAUGCGUUGAUAUCGGGAGGAAGGCCGGUGGCGAAGGCGGCUCUCUGGAACGUCCCUGACGCUGAGGUGCGAAAGCGUGGGGAGCAAACAGG